GCAGAACCGUCCAAGGUAGCACAAGAAUUAGUAGAAGUAUCGUGUAAUCUAUCCAAUUCUUGAAUUGUGUUACAAACGUAAAACUCUUUGCCUUUGCAACAAAGAAAGCAAAUCAACGUCUGAUUAAAAGUUUAAAAAAAAAAGAUUUACAAACAAGUUUCAUAUAUUCACAUCCAUGAUCCAUAGCCUUUGGUAUAUCCAUAUCGUUUCAAGGCUCCAUGACAACUCUUCAGAUCAAGCAAAGAGGAAAUUAACAAGCUUAACCAAAACUAAUGAGACAUAACAAAUAAUAGCAGGAAUCAUUUCAGACAUAUAUUCAAAAUAAACUCAAAUAAGAAAUAAACUCAUAUGUUCAUAAAUCAUACCUCAGCAAAGUAGUGAGAGAAGUAAACCUGUUUCGAAGCUUGGCUAACAGACAGGGGCUCGAACAGAAAACGCGACGGCUCUGGAACCUCGCCGGCGAUGGAGGCGCGACAGAAAAACGAGAGAGAGAAGGCUGUGUUAUGGUUGUUAUAAUGAAUAAGAAGAAAGCUUACCUACGCAGAAGGUUAAAGGAGACGAUCUCAGCAGUCGUUUUCAGUGUUCUCAGCGACUGCUUCUUCCGGUAAGUUUAGGCUCCGCCAUUUUUGGUCUUAGGUUUUUUGGUUGGAGAAGAAGCUCCAAAAACGGCUGAUCUAAUAGCUUAGCCUUUUGAUAUUAG
rnacentral:lncRNA from 1 species